GUCUGAAGUGGGAUCACUCCGCGUUCCGGCUUCCUUUUCUUUCCUUGCUGUGGAAACUGCUCUGCCUGGCAGUUUUGGUCUGUCCCCGUUUUCGGAGCUCCUCAGGUCCCUCCCCGUUUUUUUCCUGCAAGUUCCUCAGGUCUUUCCUCUUUUCCCUUUGGGAGCUCAGCUCUCUUCCCCUCUCCCCCUCUUCCCCUGGGAGCUCAGCUCUCUCCCCAUUUCCCCCGUUAGCUCAGAUCUUUCUUCCUUUCCCUCUGCGAACUCAGGGCUCUCCUCUUUUCUUCCCUUGCCCCUGAGAUCUCUCGGCAUUCCUGCACCCAAGCCCGUGCUUGCAUCUCCCAGGAAGCCUGGAGCCAGAGGGAAUGGGCCCUGGGAGCCUCAGACCUCCUCAGGAGGUUGUGACAUUCAAGGACGUGGCUGUGGACUUCACCCAGGAGGAGUGGGGGCUCUUGGACCCCUCUCAGAAGGAGCUGUUCAAGGAGGUCAUGGUGGAGAACGCCCAGAACCUGUUGUCCUUGGGGCUUCCAGUUCCCAGAGAAGAGGCGAUCUCUUAUUUUGAGCAAAGGGAAACCCCCUGGAUGCUGGACCAAGAAGAUCUGAGGAGCUGCUCUCCAGGUGAGUGAGGUGAAAGCAGGGAUAUGAGAGCUGUGGUUACAAGAGGCUCCUGGCAGUUAUCCUGAAGUACAUGCUCAGUUUGGGGAGAAAGGCCAGAUUUAGAAUUCUUUACUGAAUAUUUCUUGGCAGCCGUGUCCGGGGCUAGUCAGUGAAUCUGGCUGUCUGCUCCACAAAAUGAGUGGGGCCCACUGCAAGGCCCCGUAAGGCCCUUCCACUGCUCAUCUGUCAUUGUGUAAGAAAUCCUUCUUUGGGAUUUGGGGCAAUGGAAUUCCUGAAAGUGCCCAGAGGGAAUAGGUUUGGGACAUGAGCCAUUUCUUAGAACUUUUUCUUGUCAGUAAACAAUUAAGGGCUUGCUACUUGGCAGUCCUGUGCUAAACACCAGGAACACAAAUAGAGAUAUGAGGGACAUCCUAUGCCCUCAUGGAGGUCCCCCACCACAGAGUGGCGGGGCAGACAAUACACCAGCAAUCCUGGAGUGACCCACUGUGCACCAGAUAAAUUGAAUAAUUUAGUGCUCCAGUGCAUCAUUAAUUGGUGAGGAUCAUGAUGGUUUGAGAAGGGGAGUAGAACUGGGGAGGAAAGGGCCAAAGUGAAAUAAAACAGGUAGCAUUUAUAUAGCCCUAUGUGCUGUGCUCUGCACUGUCUUAUUUCAUCCUCAUGAGAACCUGAAGAUUUAAGUGCUAUUAUUAUGCCCAUCUUACAGAUAAAGAAACUGAAUCUAACAGUCCUAUAACUUGACUUGCAAGGUUCUGAGGUGGGAAUAAAAUCCUGGGCUUCCUGAUUUAAGGCCCUAUCCACAUUCUAUCCAUUGUAACUGUAUUCUGGUUUUGAAACAUAUGAUGAACACGGUCUAACAUGUGUGAUGUAGAAAAGAAAAGAUGAGCAGUGGAAGGGCCUUACAGGGCCUUGCAGUGGGCCCCACUCAUUUUGUGGAGCAGACAGCCAGAUUCACUGACUCGCCCCGGACAUGGCUGCCAAGAAAUAUUCACUGGACAAGCUCCUGUGGAGAUAUGGAAAUUCAUUUUUUUUUUUUUAAGUCUAGCCAGUCAAAAAGCAUUGCCAAUUACUGUUUAAAAAAAGAUUUCUAUCAGUUCCAAUGGAGCAGUAAUGAACUGAACCAGCUACACUCAGCGAAAGAACUCUGGGAGAUGACUAAGAACCAUUACAUUGAAUUCCCAAUCCCUAUAUUUUUGCCCACCUACAUUUUUGAUUUCCUUCACAGGCUAAUUGUACAAUAUUUCAGAGUCCGGUUCUUUUUGUACAGCAAAAUAAUGGUUUGGACAUGUGUACUUACUUUGUAUUUAAUUUAUACUUUAACAUAUUUAACAUGUAUUGGUCAUCCUGUCAUCUAGGGGAGGGGGGAGGGGGAAGGAGGAGAAAAAUUGGAACAAAAGGUUUGGCAGUUGUCAAUGCUAUAAAAUUACUCAUGCAUAUAACUUGUAAAUAAAAAGCUAUUAAAAAUUAAAAAUAAAUAAAUAAAAAUUAAAAAAAGAUAUAUAUUUAUGUUGGCUCAUGACAAAUGUUGCCCUAUGUUGGAAUCUUUACAAAUUGCUAACUCAUUAGAGUUGAUGUUUUGGGCCAGAACCUGAAACAAGGUACUAAGUAGAACUAAUUAAUACAAUGCUUGUGUUCAUACCUUUACUCAUUGGAGUUCACAAGUAUGGAAGAUUCACAAAGUUAACUGUGUAUCUUUGUGAAUUCACACCUCCCUUGAAGCUCUUAGGGCCAGAGAGCACUAUGGGAGAAAACCCAUAAUCCCUCUCUCUCGUAUCCCACAAUUCCUCUCUCUCAUAUAUAAGAUACAGAAAGAGGCUAUCAGGGAGAAUUCAGCCAAAUUACAUGAAAAAAAGAGCGUCAAGUCAGAAGAAGCCACAAGUCGGAACUGAACUGAGGAUUGAGAAGGCUCUCUCAGAGGCACAACCAGAUUCAUCUUCAUCUCACACCACUGUGGUGGCUGGGUUCCUGCACUUCCCCCACUGAGACCAAGCUGGUCUGAAAGACUCACCAGAAAGCUAGCCAAGCCCCAAGUGAAGGAAACAAGGGAUUCAUUCCAUCUUUGUGCUGGCUGGAGGCUGAAGAAAGCAGAGGCAGAGGCUGAAGGACAAAACCUUUGGAUUUGGAGACAUUCGGAGCGAGCUCUUGGAACUGAGCAGAAAGAUAGUUCUCUUGCAGAGAGAACUAUUAUAUUAAAAAGAAGAAAAACACCAACAGUCCUAAAUGACACAAUGGUCAAGUACAUAUCUUGUUUUUAGCACAUCUUGUUCAGGCUAUUAGAGCUUGGAUGAGAUGGGCUUGCUAGAUAACUCAGGAGGGAGAGCACUCUGGUCCGGGGAGAGACAGCCCCCGAGGGACUUUGCAGGCCUGUGGCCAUUUGUACAUGAGCGUCCAACCUUCCUUCAAUGCUAGGAAUAAUCUGAUAUCAAGUUGAGAAACCAGAAGAAUCUGUUACACUUAGAAGCAGCCAGAGUUUCAUGGACUCAGGGCACAGUCCUCCACAGCCGUGUACUAUUGAUCUUGAUACGCUGAAAUCAUUGCAGAAAGUCUUGUAAAGGUAGAACUGUGCACAUCUCUGUGGUCCCAGAGCACAACUACCUUUAUAACCAAAUCAGACAAUUAUUCACCAUUUUAGGUGCCACUAAGACAUUUUUGGGUUAGAUCCCUUGAAUCUUUGUCUUAAGCAUUCACGGAAUUGGUGAAUUUUUAAAAGGGAAAGAUUGCAAUACUGCAGCUUGCACUACCCUUCCACAUCUCAGGAUGAUGAACUCAAUUUUUGUGUUUGAGACAUUUUCAGAUGUAGUUAAUUUCAUGCAUUUAAAAAAAACUGUCAUCUUGGGAUAUGCAAGGGGCAUAUGAUUUAAAAAAAAAAAAAGAAAUAGGUGAUAGCUAUCUCAAAAAAAAAAAAUAAUGGAUCAGAAUUAAAUCACUUCUACCUCAGGUAAAUACAAAAAAAAAAAAAAAAAAAACUAUGUUAGCCUGCUGAAUAUGAUACUAUAUAAUGUAAUAGAAAAAAAAAAUAGAAUUGAAAGUGAUCAGCAUGGAAAUUUAUUAUACUUACAAGCAGGACAGAUCAUGAAACAAUUUGAGUAUUUCCUAUAUGUGCACUAGAUGCCAUGUCUAUGAAAAAGAGGCAGAAAGCAGAUAAUGAAAGGGAAAGGGGAAAAUUGAGAGUUGAGAUAAUUGUCAUAUACUGUAGGCAGAGCAUGCCCAUUCACAGGGUGUAAAUUCUAGUCGCAGCUGCUGGGAUUUGGGCCAAUUCACUCAGCCACUGAACUGGUAGCCACCUGAGUUGUGCAUCUAAGGAGAAUGAAGGCACUCUCUGGGUGUCACAGGUUAUUGUGAGGCUCCAUUGUUAUUGUGCAUGAAACUCCUUAGAAAUUAGAUCUUGUUUGGGAUGUGAACUAAUGAAACUUAAAAUGAUUGGUUUUGCCCAUUUUAUAUUUUUCUCUUUGCUUAGGAAAAGAGAAAAUGACUGAGUUUCUCUUCUGCUGGUGGAAGGAAAGGAAUAUAAAUACGUGUGAGUGUGUGUGUGUGUGUGUGUGUGUGUGCGCGCGCGCACACACAUGCAUCAUGACUAUGUCUGCUUUAUAGUUUUCUCUUUUUCUUUUGUUUUGGAAGGACAGAUCAGAAUGAAAUGAAAGAAAUUCCUGCGGAGCUAAGCCAUUCUGUGAUAGAAACUCCCAAGAAGUGGUUCAUGGGUGAUGGAUCCUGUGACUUUACUUGGACAAAAAGCUGUGCGACACAUGAGAGAAUCCAGCUUAGAGAGAGACAUUGUGAAUGUACCGAAUGUGGAAAAGGUUUUAUAAAAAAGGAAAAUCUUAUUGUACAAUUGAGAAUCCACACAGGAGAGAAACCUAACCAGUGUGGGAAAAGUUUUAUAAAAAAAGGAGCUCUUAUUUUACAUCAGAGGACCCACACUGGAGAGAAGCCUUAUGAAUGUAACCACUGUGGAAAGGCUUUUAGACAAAAGGGAGCUCUUACUGUACAUCAGAGAAUCCACACUGGAGAGAAACCUUAUGCAUGUAACCAGUGUGGAAAGGCUUUUAUACAAAAGGGAGCUCUUAAUGUACAUCAGAGAACCCACACUGGAGAGAAGCCUUAUGAAUGUAACCACUGUGGAAAGGCUUUUAGACAAAAGGGAGCUCUUACUGUACAUCAGAGAAUCCACACUGGAGAGAAACCUUAUGCAUGUAACCAGUGUGGGAAAAGUUUUAUAAAAAAAGGAGCUCUUAUUUUACAUCAGAGAACCCACACUGGAGAGAAGCCUUAUGAAUGUAACCACUGUGGAAAGGCUUUUAGAAGCAAGAACGAUCUUAUUGGACAUGAGAUGAUGCACACUGGAGAGAAGCCUUAUGAAUGUAACCACUGUGGAAAAGCUUUUAGAGAAAAGGGAGA